rnacentral:tRNA from 1 species
ACUCCGAUAGCUCAAUCGGUAGAGCAACUGGCUGUUAACCAGUGGGUUACAGGUUCGAGACCUGUUCGGGGUGCCA